AAAAUGCAGUAGAAAACAAAUAGCAGCCAUACGGUAUAAAAGCAUCUCCAUAGCUCAUCACUCACUCUCUCUCUUAAGUUGACUUCCGAAUAAAUCACUUUUAAACUAGAACCUGUGGGCAAUAGUCCGAAGUAAUUCGGACAUAUCAAAAACAAAUGUACUAAAUACCUUAUCUUUAUUUUACGGUAAAUCCUUCAAAUAAGUCGGGAGCAUUAGCUCCCAACGAACCACCUCUUGAAUGAAGUCAAGGCGGACAUCAUCGAAACGAAACCCAAAACAGAAAUUACUCAAUUGAGAAUUAAGGCCAUGAAGACAGAGGACAUACAAAGAUUACAAAAAAAAAUCAUAAAAUCCAGCAAUCAUUGAGACAGAUUUCAGGAGAUUAGAUCCACUUAUUCGAAAUAACUUUACAGAAACUGAACAAUAUCGAAAGACAUCCAAAACGAUAUUGAAAUGAGAAGGCAUUCUUCCAAACCGCUACUGGAUAUGUUUUCCAUUCCAGCAGUUUGCUACAUUAAAUAUUGGUUUUUCUCGUGCUAUCCUUGGAAUGCUAGAUAUUCCGCUGCAGUUGCAGAUAAACCAAAAGAAGAGAAAACAUAUAGAAAGAGUUAGAAGACGAUAGAAAAGCGGGAAAGGGUAACAAGAUAGAACGAAG